UGGGGGCGGGCCGGGAGCGCGCCUGCGCCGGCGGGGCGGCCAGUGAGACGUGGGUUCGCUGCCGGCGCCUUCGCCUCUUUGCCGGACGCCCAGGUUCCAGUGUGAGACUCUGGUCUGACUCGCCUUCACUAAAUAGAGGAAUACACUUAAAAAUGACUUCAAGAAAAUACCAUGUUUCUAAAAAGGAAACAUGAAAGCCUUCGGGGGCUGUCCAUCGCUGUGGGGAUCACCUGCAGUGAGCAUGGCCCCCAAGGCCCAGCUCACCCCUGUUCUGCAUGAGAGCGAGGAUGGGAAGGAGGAACGGAACUGCGCACGCCUCUCUGUUCGUGACAAGACUCAAAAUUGAUCCACAGUCCUGUCACCUGCACACGGGGCCAAGUCCACAUCUCGGUCUGGUCUGCUUCUCUGGGCCCUAGAACCAUGCUGCUGAAUGCGAAAGCCACGGGCCACGUGUAGCGGUGGGAUGUGGCCAGAGCACGACUGCAAGCCACAGAGUAGGGACUUCUACUCAACCCUGCUUCCCACUGGUUCUUCACUGCCUACAACGGGGCCCAGGACAUGGCCCGGGGUGAACGCUCAAACGAACAAGACAGGGAAUUAAAUGAAUGACUUGUUCAUUUGCCUACAGCGCAUGUGGUUCAAGGUGGAGCGACGGUCAGCUUUCUGCUGUAAAACAGCACAGCCCAGGGGCGCCUGGGCGGCUCUGUCGGCUGAGCGGCUGCCUUCGGCUCGGGCCGUGAUCCUGCGGUCCUGAGAUCGAGUCCGAGUCGGGCUCCCUGCUCUGCGGGGAGCCAGCUUCUCCCUCUGCCCCUCCCCCAUUCAUGCUCUCUCUCAAAUAAAUAAAUAAAAUCUUUAAAAAAAAACAUA